rnacentral:rRNA from 1 species
UACGGAGGACGCGAGCGUUAUCCGGAUUUAUUAGGUUUAAAGGGUGUGUAGGCGGAAGGCUAAGUCAGUGGUGAAAUCCCCCAGCUUAACUGGGGAACUGCCAUAGAUACUGGUUUUCUUGAGUACAGUUGAAGUAGGCGGAAUGUGUAAUGUAGCGGUGAAAUGCUUAGAUAUUACACAGAACACCGAUUGCGAAGGCAGCUUGCUAAGCCGAUACUGACGCUGAUGCACGAAAGCGUGGGGAG